UACGAAGGGGGCGAGCGUUGUUCGGAUUUACUGGGCGUAAAGGGCGCGCAGGCGGCGCCUUUUGUCCGGCGUGAAAGCCCCGGGCUUAACCUGGGAACUGCGUUUGAUACGGAUGGGCUAGAGUUCGGGAGAGGAGAGUGGAAUUCCCAGUGUAGAGGUGAAAUUCGUAGAUAUUGGGAAGAACACCGGUGGCGAAGGCGGCUCUCUGGGACGGUACUGACGCUGAGACGCGAAAGCGUGGGGAGCGAACAGG
rnacentral:rRNA from 1 species